GUAGAUAGACAUCGGCGUAAGUGUGGUUAGGGUAUUAAGGACUAAAGCCGAAUAUCUCCAAGGCUGUUAUACGCACCCGGAGGAGCGAAGCCCCCUAGCGAAAGUAGCUUUAUUAGUUUAGCCUGAACCCACGACAGCUAUGUAACAAACUGGGAUUAGAUACCCCACUAUGCUUAGCCGUAAAAUUUGACAGCAAGAUACAACUGCUGUCCGCCAGGGGACUACAAGCGCCAGCUUAAAACCCAAAGGACUUGGCGGUGCCUCAGACCCACCUAGAGGAGCCUGUUCUAGAACCGAUAACCCCCGUUAAACCUCACCUCCCCUUGUUAUCCCCGCCUAUAUACCGCCAUCGUCAGCAUACCCUGUGAAGGGUAUAUAGUAUGCAAAAUGGGUAGAACCCAAAACGUCAGGUCGAGGUGUAGCGUAUGGGGAGGGAAGAAAUGGGCUACAUUCUCUAAUCUAGAGUACUACGGAGGGGGCUGUGAAACCAGCCCCUGAAGGUGGAUUUAGCAGUAGGUGGGAACUAGAGCGUCCUGUCGAAACUGGCUCUGAGGCGCGCACACACCGCCCGUCACUCUCCCCAAGUCUAUUUCUUAAGUCAUAAAAUAUACCCGGACAAAGGGGGAGGCAGUUCGUAA
rnacentral:rRNA from 1 species